GGAUGAACGAUUUGACGGGAGAUUUACUAUCUUAAUAUGCAAUAGUUAAUUUUACUUGGGGGUAAAAAGGCCUCUUUAUAUUAGAGGGACGACAAGACCCUGUAAAGCUUCACUCAAGCUAAUUGGCGGGAUAAAGAAAGAGUCGAAAAUAUGAGUUACGCUGGGGCGGCGGAUAGUUAAACGCUAUGGGAAAAAACGAAAUGAGCGAAAUUCGACUAACGUUGAUUCAGAACUAAAUAAUAAGUUACUUCAGGGAUAACAGCAUAAUUCUUUCCGAAAGCUCCCAUUGCCGAAAGAGAUUAUGACCUCGAUGUUGGAUUAAG
rnacentral:rRNA from 1 species